CCCUUAGAUGUUCUGGGCCGCACGCGCGCUACACUGAUGCAUUCAACAAGCCUAGCCUUGACCGAGAGGUCCGGGUAAUCUUUGAAACUGCAUCGUGAUGGGGCUAGAUUAUUGCAAUUAUUAAUCUUCAACGAGGAAUGCCUAGUAAGCGUGAUUCAUCAAAUCGCGUUGGUUACGUCCCUGCCCUUUGUACACACCGCCCGUCGCUCCUACCGAUUGAAUGUGUUGGUGAGGAGCUCGGAUUGGCAGCAGUUGGUGGUUCGCCACCGGCUAUUGCUGAGAAGUCCUCCAAACCGCCCCAUUUAGAGGAAGGAGAAGUCGUAACA
rnacentral:rRNA from 1 species